AGUGAACGCUGGCGGUAGGCCUAACACAUGCAAGUCGAACGGCAGCACAGGAGAGCUUGCUCUCUGGGUGGCGAGUGGCGGACGGGUGAGGAAUACAUCGGAAUCUACUCUGUCGUGGGGGAUAACGUAGGGAAACUUACGCUAAUACCGCAUACGACCUACGGGUGAAAGCAGGGGACCUUGGGGCCUUGCGCGAUUGAAUGAGCCGAUGUCGGAGUAGCUCGUUGGCGGGGUAAAGGCCCACCAAGGCGACGAUCCGUAGCUGGUCUGAGAGGAUGAUCAGCCACACUGGAACUGAGACACGGUCCAGACUCCUACGGGAGGCAGCAGUGGGGAAUAUUGGACAAUGGGCGCAAGCCUGAUCCAGCCAUACCGCGUGGGUGAAGAAGGCCUUCGGGUUGUAAAGCCCUUUUGUUGGGAAAGAAAUCCAGCUGGCUAAUACCCGGUUGGGAUGACGGUACCCAAAGAAUAAGCACCGGCUAACUUCGUGCCAGCAGCAGCCGCGG
rnacentral:rRNA from 1 species